CUUCCUAUGUCGAAGAUCGACCAGAUCGCUCUCGCCUUGCCAUGUCUAAAGUCGUCCAGAUGGCUCUCGUCUGCCCAUAUCUUAGGUCUACCAGAUGGCUAUCGCUGGCGGCAGUACUAUUCAGAUCCAGCAGAAGGACGCGAUCAUCAUUCACUUCGGCCUCUAUCUCCUUGGUCUCGCACAGAUGUCGGCUACAAGCGUUGGACUUAGCCGCCAGCUUGUCAUGUCUACGUUCAACCAGAUGGCUCUCGCCUUUCCAUGUCUAAGGUCGACCAGAUGGCUCUCACCAGCAGCAGUACAGUUCAGGCUCAGAAGAGAAAUGCGAUCGUGAUUCAUUGUGGCAUCAAUCUCCCCUGUCUUGCCUGGUGGUCUUCCCAUCUCGGCCUCUCGAGUCCGUGCGACAGAUAGAACCUUACUUUUCUCUCUUUCUUUUUUUUUCUCUAACUACAAUUUCAGUUUGUUUCUACAAUACUUAGGAUGACUUGCUGUUAUUUUUCUUCUUUGUUCUUUUUUCUCUCUAUUCUCCUAUGCUCCUUCCUGCAUGCUGAAGUUGACAUUUUGGUUUAUAUUUUUUCACACUCAAGCCUGGGUGUGACAAACAGAGAGAGAAAGAGAGAGAGACCUUAAUUGUGAUAUUAAUUACCUUUUACUAUUGUUCACUCCCACUUAUUUAUGUAUUGGUUUUUAAUUAUUAUAUCUUUGUUAUUGUUAUAUAUUUACUGUUGGCUUUUUAAUUUGAGACAGAUGUUGGCUGAAAGCAUUGGACUUAGCUGCCAGCUUGCCAUGUCUAAGGUCAACCAGAUGGGUCUCGCCUUGCCAUGUCUAAGGUCAACCAGAUAAAUCUCACUGGCAGCAGUACCGUUCAGGUCCAGGAGAAGGAUGCAAUCAUGAUUCACUGUGGCCUUGACCUCCCUGGUCUCUCCCAGGUGCUCUUCCCAUCUCGGCCUCCUGAGUACCUGGCACUACUCAGACCUUCUUCCUGUUUUUUUUUUCUAACCUGAAUUUCGUUUGUUCCCACAAUACUUGGAGUGACUUGCUAUUGUUUUAUCUGUUGUUGUUCUUUUCUAUUUCUACACUGUCUAUAAUACCAAAGGACUUUAUACAAUAUGAAUGGCAAUCACAAUUAACUCUGAGUCCUUCAUGCUUGUAUGGACCCAUGACCAUACCUGCUGCCCCAAGCCCAGGUAUGAGAGUCAACAUCUCUUAAAUUGGCUGGGUCCAGAUACUGGAGUCCUCACCUGCCUCUUAUCUGGGCUUAGAAAUAUGUCACUAAUCCAACUGUGGCUAGGUCUUUACAUAUUACAGUCAAAAUUCCAACUGUGGACUGUAUUUGCAUGUGAAAUUCUGGACCUCAACAGUGAGCUCUUUCCAUGAGUGAGGGUGGCAAUUCUAAUGUUUGGUGGGGUGUGCAUAUGAGAAACACAAUCUCACCUGCAUAUUGUUCCCUGUGAUAACACUAUCUGUAACACUCAGGGGCUUUAUAUGAUAUGGGAGUCAUUUAUUGCCAAGCCAAAGAUGACCCUUUUAAUUCUGGUGAGCACAAAGCCAGAGAUUAUCUAGCCUCAGCUUAAAGAUCCUCACUCAAAUUGAAAAUGCUGAAUAAUUCUUUUUAAAGCUUCCAGUAUUUCAGGGGCACUAUUUGUUGUUGUUGUUGUUGUUGUUGUUUUAAGCGAAAAGGGAAUACCAUCUUGUCUUUUGGUUUUGUUGGCUAGAGACAUGAUUUUAGGUAGGAGUUGAAAAGCCAAAGAUAGACUGUGAUACUGGAAUCAUAUUACAACUUUCUUUUAAUGCUUUUUUCUGUAGAUUUAUAUACAGAUAUAAGAUAUGUAGAUAAAUAUAUUCAAACACACUGGGUCAUAUAAAUAUGUCUAUGUGAUAUCUAUCUAUGAGUUCAUCUUAUAAAAAAAGGUCCCAAAAUAUAAUAAAGCUGAAUCACAUAUGAGUAAACCAGUCCCAAAAUAUAAGUAAAUCGGUCCUACACAGCCCCCUCAGGAAAGGUGAAUGCAAUCAGCAAAUUGGCUCAGCCCAUGUAUUUCCAACCAGUAAACUAGCUCAGCCAAGGUGAUUCCAGCCAGCCAAUUAGCUCAGCUCACAUGAUUUCAAUUAGCCUAUUUGUUUAGUUCAUGUGGAUUCAAUCAGCCAAUUAUGUAAGUGAUGACUAAGUAUUCAUCCAGGCAAGCCCAGGAAGGUAGAUGUGAAUGAUGCAUGCAUAAAACAAGAAGAAAAUAAGUGUUCUUAAGUGCUAAUGUGGACAGAAAGUAUUACAUGGGUUUCCUGUCAGCUUACUUCCCGGUUCUUUUCCCUAAAGGUGAAGCAUUGCUUAUGUUUAUACAAAAACAUUGUAUAGCUAUGUUCCAUUCUGGCAUGCUACUGAGCCAAAGAGAAGAGAAGUAAUUCUACAUAUGCAUUCUUAUAAUAUGCUAUGGGAU
rnacentral:lncRNA from 10 species